GAUGCCAACACACUACCUGCCCAUUCAGGAACAAGCAAUUUACAAAUUUACAAAAAGUCCAAAGAACACCAAGAAAACUACUACAGUUAAGUUGGAUUUACUACUCAUUGCAUUAAGGAAUGCACGGAGAACACACCAUGGGGAACCCUGCGGUAUCGUGAUGUUCUCAUUUAAGCAACAAGAAGAUUCGUCUCUCGCUAUUACUGUAACUGCUGUUUAUAUCGUCAUGUCCCGGAAAGGUCCCUGUCUUCCCUGAAUGGUCUCUACCAACUUCACCUCCGGUUCUAGGUGUCAUGGCUGCCCCAAGGGUCUAGAGACGACAACUUCUCCGCUUCCUCGGCGAUGGCGGCGUCCGGGAGCGGUAUGGCCCAGAAAACCUGGGAACUGGCCAACAACAUGCAGGAAGCUCAGAGUAUCGAUGAAAUCUACAAAUACGACAAGAAACAGCAGCAAGAAAUCCUGGCGGCGAAGCCCUGGACUAAGGAAGAUGGGUCCUCGCUGUGUUGCUCAGGCUGAUCUCGAGCUUCUGCCUUCAAGCGAUCCUCCCGCCUUGGCCUUCCAAAG
rnacentral:sRNA from 1 species